ACAGCAGCCGCCGCGGGAAUACGUAGGUGGCAAGCGUUGUCCGGAAUUAUUGGGCGUAAAGGGCUCGCAGGCGGUUUCUUAAGUCUGAUGUGAAAGCCCCCGGCUCAACCGGGGAGGGUCAUUGGAAACUGGGAAACUUGAGUGCAGAAGAGGAGAGUGGAAUUCCACGUGUAGCGGUGAAAUGCGUAGAGAUGUGGAGGAACACCAGUGGCGAAGGCGACUCUCUGGUCUGUAACUGACGCUGAGGAGCGAAAGCGUGGGGAGCGAACAGGAUUAGAUACCCCUGUAGUCCCUGUCUCUUAUAC
rnacentral:rRNA from 1 species